UGCCUUACACAUGCAAGUCGAACGGCAGCACGGGGGCAACCCUGGUGGCGAGAGGCGAACGGGUGAGUAAUAUAUCGGAACGUACCCUAGAGUGGGGGAUAACGUAGCGAAAGUUACGCUAAUACCGCAUACGAUCUACGGAUGAAAGCAGGGGAUCGCAAGACCUUGCGCUCAUGGAGCGGCCGAUAUCUGAUUAGCUAGUUGGGGGGGGUAAAAGCCUACCAAGGCAUCGAUCAGUAGCUGGUCUGAGAGGACGACCAGCCACACUGGGACUGAGACACGGCCCAGACUCCUACGGGAGGAGAGGGGGGAUUUUGGAAAUGGGGGGGCCCUGAUCCAGCAACCUGUCCGAACAAUGCCGCGUGAGUGAAGAAGGCCUUCGGGUUGUAAAGCUCUUUUGUCAGGGAAGAAACGGUUUGGGUUAAUACCCUGGACUAAUGACGGUACCUGAAGAAUAAGCACCGGCUAAC
rnacentral:rRNA from 1 species